rnacentral:siRNA from 1 species
ACGGUGAGUCUAUUUGGCUGGGUC